CGCUUUCUCUAUCCCCAGGCCUUUUGAGAGCAGCGUAGGUUGACUGUUCAUUGUCUACUGGUUCAUAAAUGUUGGCAUCAUCUCUGUUACGAUUACCAUGAAUAUCUUGUAAAUUAUUUCCCCCAUUCGUCCUCUCCACGUUUGUCCUAGUGGACACGCUUGAUGAUUUGAGUCGACGAAUUUGAUAAAUCAAAUAAGCAAUAAUAACAAAUGAAAUGACCAGCAAUAUUGCUAAUACCACAAUUCCAGCUAGACCUUUUUCAGAACAAUCAUCACUUUUGGCGGUACCUGAAAAUUGGCGGUUACGAAAAACAAGUGUAUUCUUAAUUAAGCAGAAUACGAGUGAUUCCUUGCUAAUCUGCGAGCAUGGCCCUAGGGCCUUUUUUAUUAACGAUGCUAUAGAAAUACAAGCGUGCAGCAACCCAUCAUCUAUUCCGGCCUAUGUUUCCAACACUGAUUUAACAUGAAAUAUUAGUAAUUGGCCAACACUGAACGCAGGCUUGCGUUGUGUGCUGCCAUAGAAACACGAUCAUUUUUAUUUUUUUUAAUUUCCA